UAUAUAUAUCAGAAAUAAUGAAAAGAUAUCCCGACAGCAGCGACGACGACGACGAAAAGCAGCCGACCCUGCGGGCGGUGCUGAGUGCUGCCCUGUAUGGAGCCCAGCAGAGCUUGUGGGUCACACAGCACCCCGUUUCCUUACGGCCAGGAAUGCGAUUGUUUUCUUGGGACGAUCCAACUCUGACCGCUGGGCACCAACCCUUCGCUACGGGAAUAUCUGAUGGAAAUGGAUUUUCAUAUCUUUCUCCUGAAAAAAUAAAUUCUCUGUUUGAAAUUGGAAUAAAUUUUGUUCCUAAAA